UACGAAGGGGGCUAGCGUUGCUCGGAAUCACUGGGCGUAAAGCGCACGUAGGCGGAUUGUUAAGUCAGGGGUGAAAUCCUGGAGCUCAACUCCAGAACUGCCUUUGAUACUGGCGAUCUCGAGUCCGGGAGAGGUGAGUGGAACUGCGAGUGUAGAGGUGAAAUUCGUAGAUAUUCGCAAGAACACCAGUGGCGAAGGCGGCUCACCUGGCCCGGUACUGACGCUGAGGUGCGAAAGCGUGGGGAGCAAACAGG
rnacentral:rRNA from 1 species